UACAGGGGGUGCAAACGUUGCUCGGAAUCAUUGGGCGUAAAGCGCACGUAGGCGGUUCGUUAUGUCGGAUGUGAAAGCCCUUGGCUUAACCGAGGAAGUGCAUCCGAAACUGGCGAGCUAGAGUACUAAAGAGGAUCGCGGAAUUCCCGGUGUAGAGGUGAAAUUCGUAGAUAUCGGGAGGAACACCGGUGGCGAAGGCGGCAUCCUGGACCGGCAUUGACGCUGAGGAGCGAAAGCCAGGGGAGCAAACGGG
rnacentral:rRNA from 1 species